rnacentral:rRNA from 1 species
UAAUUGAAGAGUUUGAUCAUGGCUCAGAUUGAACGCUGGCGGCAGGCCUAACACAUGCAAGUCGAACGGUAGCACAGAGAGCUUGCUCUCGGGUGACGAGUGGCGGACGGGUGAGUAAUGUCUGGGAAACUGCCCGAUGGAGGGGGAUAACUACUGGAAACGGUAGC